rnacentral:rRNA from 1 species
AGUGAACGCUGGCGGUAGGCCUAACACAUGCAAGUCGAACGGCAGCACAGUAAGAGCUUGCUCUUACGGGUGGCGAGUGGCGGACGGGUGAGGAAUACAUCGGAAUCUACUUUUUCGUGGGGGAUAACGUAGGGAAACUUACGCUAAUACCGCAUACGACCUACGGGUGAAAGCAGGGGAUCUUCGGACCUUGCGCGAUUGAAUGAGCCGAUGUCGGAUUAGCUAGUUGGCGGGGUAAGGGCCCACCAAGGCGACGAUCCGUAGCUGGUCUGAGAGGAUGAUCAGCCACACUGGAACUGAGACACGGUCCAGACUCCUACGGGAGGCAGCAGUGGGGAAUAUUGGACAAUGGGCGCAAGCCUGAUCCAGCCAUACCGCGUGGGUGAAGAAGGCCUUCGGGUUGUAAAGCCCUUUUGUUGGGAAAGAAAAGCAGCAGGUUAAUACCCCGCUGUUCUGACGGUACCGAAAGAAUAAGCACCGGCUAACUUCGUG